GGUUGACCUCGGAUCAGGUAGGAAUACCCGCUGAACUUAAGCAUAUCAAUAAGCGGAGGAAAAGAAACCAACAGGGAUUGCCUCAGUAACGGCGAGUGAAGCGGCAACAGCUCAAAUUUGAAAUCUGGCCCAGCGCCCGAGUUGUAAUUUGUAGAGGAUGCUUUAGGCGCGGCGCCUUCCGAGUUCCCUGGAACGGGACGCCACAGAGGGUGAGAGCCCCGUAUGGUCGGACGCCAAGCCACUGUAAAGCUCCCUCGACGAGUCGAGUAGUUUGGGAAUGCUGCUCAAAAUGGGAGGUAAAUUUCUUCUAAAGCUAAAUACCGGCCAGAGACCGAUAGCGAAAAAGUAGAGUGAUCGAAAGAUGAAAAGCACUUUGAAAAGAGGGUUAAACAGCACGUGAAAUUGUUGAAAGGGAAGCGCCUGUGACCAGACCUGCGCCCUGGGGAUCAUCCGGCGUUCUCGCCGGUGCACUCCGCUGGGCUGCAGGCCAGCAUCGGUUCUCCUAGGGGGAUAAAAGCACUGGGAACGUGGCUCCUUAGGGAGUGUUAUAGCCCGUUGCACAAUACCCUUGGGGGGACCGAGGUACGCGCUCCGCAAGGAUGCUGGCGUAAUGGUCAUCAGCGACCCGUCUUGAAACACGGACCAAGGAGUCAAGCAUUAGGGCGAGUGUUUGGGUGCAAAACCCGCACGCGAAAUGAAAGUGAACGCAGGUGAGAGCUUCGGCGCAUCAUCGACCGAUCCUGAUGUUCUCGGAUGGAUUUGAGUAAGAGCCUUACCGCUUGGACCCGAAAGAUGGUGAACUAUGCCUGUAUAGGGUGAAGCCAGAGGAAACUCUGGUGGAGGCUCGCAGCGGUUCUGACGUGCAAAUCGAUCGUCAAAUAUGGGCAUGGGGGCGAAAGACUAAUCGAACUAUCUAGUAGCUGGUUACCGCCGAAGUUUCCCUCAGGAUAGCAGUGUUGUUUUCAGUUUUAUGAGGUAAAGCGAAUGAUUAGGGACUCGGGGGCGCUAUUUUGCCUUCAUCCAUUCUCAAACUUUAAAUAUGUAAGAAGCCCUUGUUACUUUGUUGAACGUGGGCCUUCGAAUGCAGCAACACUAGUGGGCCAUUUUUGGUAAGCAGAACUGGCGAUGCGGGAUGAACCGAACGCGGGGUUAAGGUGCCAGAGUGGACGCUCAUCAGACACCACAAAAGGCGUUAAUACAUCUUGACAGCAGGACGGUGGCCAUGGAAGUCGGAAUCCGCUAAGGACUGUGUAACAACUCACCUGCCGAAUGUAUUAGCCCUGAAAAUGGAUGGCGCUCAAGCGUCCCACCCAUACCCCGCCCUCAGGGUAGAAACGAUGCCCUGAGGAGUAGGCGGCCGCGGGGGCGGUGACGAAGCCCAGGGCGUGAGCCCGGGUCGAACCGCCUCUGGUGCAGAUCUUGGUGGUAGUAGCAAAUACUUCAAUGAGAACUUGAAGGACCGAAGUGGGGAAAGGUUCCAUGUGAACAGCGGUUGGACGUGGGUUAGCCGAUCCUAAGCCAUAGGGAAGUUCCGUUUCAAAGGGGCACUCGUGCCCCGAAUGGCGAAAGGGAAGCAGGUCAAUAUUCCUGCGCCUGGAUGCGGGUUUUUCGCGGCAACGCAACCGAACGCGGAGACGGCGGCGGGGGCCCCGGGCAGAGUUCUCUUUUCUUCUUAACGGUCUGCCACCCUGAAAACAGUUUGUCUGGAGAUAGGGUCCCAUGGCCGGAAGAGCCCAGCACCUCUGCUGGGUCCGGUGCGCCCCCGACGUCCCUUGAAAAUCCGCGGGAGGGAAUAAUUCUCGCGCCAGGUCGUACUCAUAACCGCAG
rnacentral:rRNA from 1 species